CCUACGGGGUGCUGCAGUGAGGAAUAUUGGUCAAUGGGCGCGAGCCUGAACCAGCCAAGUAGCGUGAAGGAUGACUGCCCUACGGGUUGUAAACUUCUUUUAUAAAGGAAUAAAGUGAGGCACGUGUGCCUUUUUGUAUGUACUUUAUACAUAAGGAUAGGCUAACUACGUGCCAGCAGCCGCGGUAAUACGGAGGAUCCGAGCGUUAGCCGGAUUUAUUGGGUUUAAAGGGAGCGUAGAUGGGUUGUUAAGUCAGUUGUGAAAGUUUGCGGCUCAACCGUAAAAUUGCAAUUGAUACUGGCAGUCUUGAGUACAGGUGAGGUAGGCGGAAUUCGUGGUGUAGCGGUGAAAUGCUUAGAUAUCACGAAGAACUCCGAUUGCGAAGGCAGCUUACUAAACUGCCACUGACAUUGAUGCUCGAAAGUGUGGGUAGCAAACAGGAUUAGAUACCCUUGUAGUC
rnacentral:rRNA from 1 species